rnacentral:rRNA from 1 species
GACGAACGCUGGCGGCGUGCUUAACACAUGCAAGUCGAACGGAAAGGCCCUGCUUUUGUGGGGUGCUCGAGUGGCGAACGGGUGAGUAACACGUGAGUAACCUGCCCUUGACUUUGGGAUAACUUCAGGAAACUGGGGCUAAUACCGGAUAGGAGCUCCUGCUGCAUGGUGGGGGUUGGAAAGUUUCGGCGGUUGGGGAUGGACUCGCGGCUUAUCAGCUUGUUGGUGGGGUAGUGGCUUACCAAGGCUUUGACGGGUAGCCGGCCUGAGAGGGUGACCGGCCACAUUGGGACUGAGAUACGGCCCAGACUCCUACGGGAGGCAGCAGUGGGAAAUAUUGCACAAUGGGCGGAAGCCGGAUGCAGCAACGCCGCGUGCGGGAUGACGGCCUUCGGGUUGUAAACCGCUUUCGCCUGUGACGAAGCGUGAGUGACGGUAAUGGGGAAAGAAGCACCGGCUAACUACGU